AAUAAAGAGAAAAAUGAAAAGAUACAGAGGAAGAUAGAUAGACUGAGAAAAGAAGUUGAUAUUACCAGAAAAUUAGAUGUAGAUAAAGUAUCAAAUGUUGCUUUGAAAGAAGAAAAAGAAUGGAAUAAAAUUCUUAUUCAG